AUACGAAAGGUGCGAGCGUUGUUCGGAUUUACUGGGCGUAAAGCGAGUGUAGGUGGUUUGUUAAGUCGGAUGUGAAAUCCCGGGGCUCAACCUCGGAACUGCAUUCGAUACUGGCAGGCUAGAGUUCGGGAGGGGUAAGCGGAAUUCCGUGUGUAGCAGUGAAAUGCGUAGAUAUACGGAGGAACACCUGGGGCGAAGGCGGCUUACUGGACCGAUACUGACACUGAGACUCGAAAGCGUGGGUAGCAAACAGGAUUAGAAACCCUAGUAGUCC
rnacentral:rRNA from 1 species